UAUCUCUGCACUGAGAACUCUCAGGGAGGCUACACCUCAGUUAAAAGCUCGGGUGGUAUCUUAGCUUUGCCUUCUUUCACAGGGUUCUUCGCUGGCGACACAUCGUCUGACUGUACUGCGCUCACACUUGUAGCAGUCUGCAAUGCUAGACAUCUUUUCUUGUUUUUCCUUUCUGCCUCAUUGGCACAAGCCGUAUUUAACCUCUCCAACAGGAGUUCAUCAGGUGUCUUAGGUGCAUUGGCUAUCUCGGCUACCAGUGAGGUUGUAGUGUUUGGUUGCUCUCGGUGCUCUGAAUAACCCCCAUCAUUUCCAUUUGGUUCAGUCUCCACUAUUGUUUCUUUCAUUACGUCAGCAAUCUUAUCAUUAAAGAGCAAGUAACGUCUAAAUUAACUUUUUUUGCUGAUGAACUGCAUAAAUGAGUGUCUAAUAGUGUUUUAAAUGUGUGCAUUCUUUAUUUUAGCAUUUUGGUGCAUUUUCUUUAAAAAUUAAAAAUUCUGUCUAAAAACCACAGUAAUGCACCACCUUCAGCUGAAAACAUAGAAUUUGAGUCAUUUUGAAUAAAUUUUAGCCAAUGGCUAAAGAGUAAAGUACUACGUAAACCAGUAGAGUACUACGUAGCAGCUCCGUGCCAAAGUUAUAAAAGCAACGAGCGUCUCGGCCACGCCCUGUGGCGAGUGGGAGUUGGAUUUGCAAGCGAGCGUAGGAGGUCAGCGGUAGUUCAGCAUUAGCAUAUAGCAUUAGCAUAUCCUAGUCUUUAGCAUAUCUUUUAGUGUUAUAAAUAAUUAUUUAGUGUUAGAUUUGGCUGUUGGAUAUUGUAGUUUAGUUAGUGUUUGGCUGUUAGUGUAAUUGGGAAAGUAUUUCGGGUUUAGUGUUCCAUAUCGUCUUAGUAUUGGUGAGUAGGUGUAGUGUAGUAUGCUUGCGGUGACUCUGUGGGCAUUUUACCCGCGAUUCUGCACGCCUCCGUUUGAAGAGGGAGGCUGCCCACCGUGGCUUUUCCGCGAUUUAGAUGCAGCCCACCGACUCUGCUCCCCCACCACGGCGGGCUCCAGUCUGAGGUGAGUACGCUAAAUAAACGUUUUAACAUCUUCUAAAGACAAUUCCGUACCUAAAUGCAAAGUCUGAGAGAUGUGGUUCACUUCCUUUAGCUAGUCAGUCGGUAAUUCUGCAAGAGUGGCUCUAACUGACGCAGCACUAGUUGACAGACAGCAUUACAGCGUGAAAUCCAGCUUCUGACCCGGUUCUGUAAGGAAUUCUGUUCAGGAGGUCACAUUUCAGGCUCUCCACAUCAUGUGUGACUGACUUUUACGUUAUAACAACGAUCACACACUAGGAAUGUUAUAAAGCGCCUAUAUAGGAGAUUCUUUUGUAUAUUAUCUGACUUUAUAAACUCCCAACAACAAUGUGCUUAUAUUUUUUUUUCAGGCUAAAUCUACCCAAGACACUGGCUGUCAGACUGAUUUAGCUGCAAGAAUGCACUUGUCCAGGCAGACGUGAAGCCUUACCUGUAGCAAAGCCAGCCAGAAUGGAGCUCACAGCCGCAGUGUGUCUUGUGACACAGGGACCAUGACGGAAAUUUAUCUUCCAGAUAGUCCCAGAGCAGCAUCCACACCCCCUGAAAAGACCAAGAUGUAAGGUGUCUGCUGUUGAUUCCAGCUUCCACCUCAGUGACAGUGCAAGCUCAGUGAACUGUUCAAGGACACUCAGCAAAAUAUGGACUCUACACCAUGAGGCAGGUACACGUUAAUAACUCUAUAAGAGCACAUAAGCCUGGCUGAUCACCUGAUAACUCUGUCAUCUGGUUAUGACAGCAUGAGGAUGUCCUCACACACCUGUAACCUAUCAGCUCAUCUGGCAGAAUAGAGAGAGAAGAGACAACACCACAUCUCCUGUUCCUGCAAAGCCUUCAGCCAUCCUUCGAUGACUGAGAACCUCCAUCAGCUCUGUCUCCUGUCUGCCUACAAUUAUUAUAAUAAAUAUUGUGUUUGACAAGUUUUU